GGGGGACAACGUUUCGAAAGGAACGCUAAUACCGCAUACGUCCUACGGGAGAAAGCAGGGGACCUUCGGGCCUUGCGCUAUCAGAUGAGCCUAGGUCGGAUUAGCUAGUUGGUGAGGUAAUGGCUCACCAAGGCGACGAUCCGUAACUGGUCUGAGAGGAUGAUCAGUCACACUGGAACUGAGACACGGUCCAGACUCCUACCGGAGGCAGCAGUGGGGAAUAUUGGACAAUGGGCGAAAGCCUGAUCCAGCCAUGCCGCGUGUGUGAAGAAGGUCUUCGGAUUGUAAAGCACUUUAAGUUGGGAGGAAGGGCAGUAAAUUAAUACUUUGCUGUUUUGACGUUACCGACAGAAUAAGCACCGGCUAACUCUGU
rnacentral:rRNA from 1 species